GUCAUACUCAUGUUUUUCUUGGGAACGCGCUGAAUGGAGUCCAGCCACCUGAGCUGUUGCGAACUCUCACUUUGAUUUCAUCCCAAGAGCCUCUGAGGGGGAAAAAAUCAAGAGAGACAGUCUGAGACAGGGAAAGAGAGGGAGAGAAAGAACAAGCUUUCUUACUCAGGGGGGAAAACGUUUUGAGCUUCAACAUGGCCUCGCUGUGAUAUCUGAUCACUGGAGAUUCCAUCGUUAGUGCUGAGGCAGUAUGGGAUCACGUCACCAUGGCCAACCGGGAGUUGGCAUUUAAGGCUGGCGACGUCAUCAAAGUCUUGGAUGCUUCCAACAAGGAUUGGUGGUGGGGCCAGAUCGACGAUGAGGAGGGAUGGUUUCCUGCCAGC
rnacentral:lncRNA from 1 species